rnacentral:rRNA from 1 species
GGCGGCAGGCCUAACACAUGCAAGUCGAGCGCCCCUUCGGGGGAGCGGCGGACGGGUUAGUAACGCGUGGGAAUAUGCCCUUCUCUACGGAAUAGCCCAGGGAAACUUGGAUUAAUACCGUAUACGCCCUUAGGGGGAAAGAUUUAUCGGAGAAGGAUUAGCCCGCGUUAGAUUAGAUAGUUGGUGAGGUAACGGCUCACCAAGUCAACGAUCUAUAGCUGGUUUGAGAGGAUGAUCAGCAACACUGGAACUGAGACACGGUCCAGACUCCUACGGGAGGCAGCAGUGGGGAAUCUUGGACAAUGGGCGCAAGCCUGAUCCAGCCAUGCCGCGUGAGUGAAGAAGGCCUUAGGGUCGUAAAGCUCUUUCG